ensembl:lncRNA
ACACGAAUCCACCUGAAGACGAUGAAGGGAAAGACACGAACCUGCCUGAAGACGCUGAAGGGAAAGACACGAAUCCAUCUGAAGACGAUGAAGGGAAAGACACGAACCUGCCUGAAGACGCUGAAGGCAAAGACACGAAUCCACCUGAAGACGAUGAAGGCAAAGACACGAAUCCAUCUGAAGAUGAUGAAGGUAAAGACACGAACGUACCUGAAGAUGAUGAAGGUAAAGACACAAAUCCACCUGAAGAUGAUGAAGGUAAAGACACAAACCCACCAGAAGACGAUGAAGAUAAAGACACAAAUCAACCUGAUGAUGAAGGGAAAGACACAAGUCCACAAGAAGAUGAUGAAGGUAAAGACAAGAAUCCACCUGAAGAUGCUGAAGGGAAAGACACAAAUCCAACUGAAGACGAUGAAGGUAAAGACACAAAUCCAUCUGAAGAUGAUGAAGGUAAAGACAAGAAUUCACCUGAUGAUGAUGAAGGGAAAGACACCAACCUACCUAAAGACGAUGAAAGGAAAGACACGAUUCCACCUGAAGCUGAUGAAGGGAAAGACACGAACCCACCUGAAGACGAUGAAGGCAAAGACACAAACCCACCAGAAGACAAUGAAGAUAAAGACACAAAUCAACCUGAUGAUGAAGGGAAAGACACAAGUCCAGAAGAAGAUGGUGAAAGUAAAGACAAGAAUCCACCUGAAGAUGAUGAAGGGAAAGACAAGAAUCCACCUGAAGAUGAUGAAGGUAAAGACAUGAAUCCACCUGAAGACGAUGAAGAGAAAGAGACAAAUCCAUCUGAGGAUGAUGAAGGUAAAGACACGAAUAAAUCUGAAGAUGAUGAAGGUAAAGACACAAAUCCACCUGAAGAUGAUGAAGGUAAAGACACGAACCUACCUGAAGAUGAUGAAGGCAAAGACACGAUUCCACCUGAAGACGAUAAAGGGAAAGACAAGAAUCCACCUGAAGACGAUGAAGGGAAAGAGACAAAUCCACCUGAAGACGAUGAAGGGAAAGACAAGAAUCCACCUGAAGACGAUGAAGGGAAAGACACAAAUCCACCUGAAGACGAUGAAGGGAAAGACAAGAAUCCACCUGAAGACGAUGAAGG